GACGUAGGGCGCGAGCGUUGUCCGGAUUUAUUGGGCGUAAAGAGCUCGUAGGCGGCUUGUCGCGUCGAAUGUGAAAUCCUGCGGCUCAACUGCAGGCUUGCAUUCGAUACGGGCAGGCUCGAGUUCGGUAGGGGAGACUGGAAUUCCUGGUGUAGCGGUGAAAUGCGCAGAUAUCAGGAGGAACACCGGUGGCGAAGGCGGGUCUCUGGGACGUGACUGACGCUGAGACGCGAAAGCGUGGGGAGCAAACAGG
rnacentral:rRNA from 1 species